rnacentral:rRNA from 1 species
CUCGUAGGCGGUUUGUCGCGUCGGGAGUGAAAACACCGGGCUUAACUCGGUGCUUGCUUCCGAUACGGGCAGACUAGAGGUAUGCAGGGGAGAACGGAAUUCCUGGUGUAGCGGUGAAAUGCGCAGAUAUCAGGAGGAACACCGGUGGCGAAGGCGGUUCUCUGGGCAUGUCCUGACGCUGAGGAGCGAAAGUGUGGGGAGCGAACA